GAUCCUGGCUCAGGAUGAACGCUAGCUACAGGCUUAACACAUGCAAGUCGAGGGGAAACGACAUCGAAAGCUUGCUUUUGAUGGGCGUCGACCGGCGCACGGGUGAGUAACGCGUAUCCAACCUGCCCAUCACUUGGGAAUAACCUUGCGAAAGUAAGACUAAUGCCCAAUGAUAUCCCACGAAGGCAUCCGAAUGGGAUUAAAGAUUUAUCGCUUAGAGAUGGGCUCGCGU
rnacentral:rRNA from 1 species